GACGAACGCUGGCGGCGUGCCUAAUACAUGCAAGUCGUGCGGAGCUGCGGCCGGGUGAGUAAUGCCUAGGAAUCUGCCUGGUAGUGGGGGAUAACGUCCGGAAACGGGCGCUAAUACCGCAUACUAUCAGAUGAGCCUAGGUCGGAUUUGCUAGUUGGUGGGGUAAAGGCCUACCACGGCGACGAUCCGUAACUGGUCUGAGAGGAUGAUCAGUCAAACUGGAACUGAGACACGGUCCAGACUCCGACGUGAGGCAGCAGUGGGGAAUAUUGGACAAUGGGCGAAAGCCUGAUCCAGCCAUGCGGCGUGUGUGAAGAAGUUCUGCGGAUUGUAAAGCACUUUAAGUUGGGAGGCGUGACCAACAGAAUAAGCACCGGCUAACUUCGUGCCAGCAGCGGCGGUAAUUC
rnacentral:rRNA from 1 species